UACGUAGGGUGCAAGCGUUAAUCGGAAUUACUGGGCGUAAAGCGUGCGCAGGCGGUUAUGCAAGACAGAUGUGAAAUCCCCGGGCUCAACCUGGGAACUGCAUUUGUGACUGCAUGGCUGGAGUGCGGCAGAGGGGGGUAGAAUUCCACGUGUAGCAGUGAAAUGCGUAGAGAUGUGGAGGAAUACCGAUGGCGAAGGCAGCCUCCUGGGCCAACACUGACGCUCAUGCACGAAAGCGUGGGGAGCAAACAGG
rnacentral:rRNA from 1 species